rnacentral:rRNA from 1 species
CCUACGGGUGACAGCAGUGAGGAAUAUUGGUCAAUGGGCUUACGCCUGAACCAGCCAAGUCGCGUGAGGGAAGACUGCCCUAUGGGUUGUAAACCUCUUUUGUCAGAGAGCAACGCCGGCUACGUUUAGCCGGACUGAGAGUACCUGAAGAAAAAGCAUCUGCUAACUCCGUGCCAGCAGCCGCGGUAAUACGGAGGAUGCGAUCGUUAUCCGGAUUUAUUGGGUUUAAAGGGUGCGUAGGCGGAAUGCCAAGUCAGCGGUAAACUCGCGGGGCUCAACCUCGCUCCGCCGUUGAAACUGGCGUUCUUGAGUGGGCGAGAAGUAUGCGGAAUGCGUGGUGGAGCGGUGAAAUGCAUAGAUAUCACGCAGAACUCCGAUUGCGAAGGCAGCUCACUGGACUGCAACGGACACUGAGGCUCGAAAGUGUGGGUAUCAAACAGGAUUAGAUACCCUAGUAGUC